rnacentral:rRNA from 1 species
AGUGAACGCUGGCGGUAGGCCUAACACAUGCAAGUCGAACGGCAGCACAGUAAGAGCUUGCUCUUACGGGUGGCGAGUGGCGGACGGGUGAGGAAUACAUCGGAAUCUACUUUUUCGUGGGGGAUAACGUAGGGAAACUUACGAUAAUACCGCAUACGACCUACGGGUGAAAGCAGGGGAUCUUCGGACCUUGCGCGAUUGAAUGAGCCGAUGUCGCAUUAGCUAGUUGGCGGGGUAAAGGCCCACCAAGGCGACGAUCCGUAGCUGGUCUGAGAGGAUGAUCAGCCACACUGGAACUGAGACACGGUCCAGACUCCUACGGGAGGCAGCAGUGGGGAAUAUUGGACAAUGGGCGAAAGCCUGAUCCAGCCAUACCGCGUGGGUGAAGAAGGCCUUCGGGUUGUAAAGCCCUUUUGUUGGGAAAGAAAAGCAGCAGGUUAAUACCCCGCUGUUCUGACGGUACCCAAAGAAUAAGCAACGGCUAACUUCGUG